rfam:Felis catus isolate Cinnamon breed Abyssinian chromosome B4, whole genome shotgun sequence.
GCCUGGGUGGCUCAGUCGGUUGAGCAUCCGACUUCAGCUCGGGUCAUGAUCUCGCUGUCCGUGAGUUCGAGCCCCACGUCGGGCU